AGUUACAUCCAAGCCUUAAGCCUGUGCAUGUUUUCAGUUGGAAUAAAACAGACUAGAACCUUGGUAUGCUUGCACAGGAGAUAUUUCUCGUGUGGUAUAGAAAAAUGUGCCUGUUUGCUCUUGUUGCAGCCUAAGAACCAGUGGUUCCAUUUCAUUUGGACUACAGAUUCAAAUCAAGAUGGAAUCAGCAUUUCUAGUCUCUUUCUUAUAAUACUUACUUUCUUUUUUUUUUUUUUUAAUUUUUUUUAAAUAUUUAUUUAUUUAUUUUUGAGACAGAG
rnacentral:lncRNA from 1 species